rnacentral:rRNA from 1 species
UGGGGAAUUUUGGACAAUGGGCGAAAGCCUGAUCCAGCAAUGCCGCGUGUGUGAAGAAGGCCUUCGGGUUGUAAAGCACUUUUGUCCGGAAAGAAAUCCUUGGCUCUAAUACAGUCGGGGGAUGACGGUACCGGAAGAAUAAGCACCGGCUAACUACGUGCCAGCAGCCGCGGUAAUACGUAGGGUGCAAGCGUUAAUCGGAAUUACUGGGCGUAAAGCGUGCGCAGGCGGUUUGCUAAGACCGAUGUGAAAUCCCCGGGCUCAACCUGGGAACUGCAUUGGUGACUGGCAGGCUAGAGUAUGGCAGAGGGGGGUAGAAUUCCACGUGUAGCAGUGAAAUGCGUAGAGAUGUGGAGGAAUACCGAUGGCGAAGGCAGCCCCCUGGGCCAAAUACUGACGCUCAUGCACGAAAGCGUGGGGAGCAAAGCAGGAUUAGAUACCCUGGUAGUCCACGCCCUAAACGAUGUCACUAGUUGUUGGGGAUUCAUUCCUUAGUAACGUAGCUAACGCGUGAAGUUGACCGCCUGGGGAGUACGGUCGCAAGAUU